rnacentral:lncRNA from 1 species
GCAGCGGAUAAAGAGAGAUGGGGAUAAAUUUUAGGCAGAAGUUAAGGGUAGGGAAGCACCAAAAUGGUGAACGUUUGUAGCUUUAGGGUUGAGAUAACCCCACACACUUCAAGAUGAUAGACUCUGGAAUCAAAGCUUCUGAUUGGGCAGGUCAGAUAACUGGGCGUGGGCUUGGUAAAGAAUAUGCUGCCAAGCCUUGUGACCUGAGUUCGAUUUCCAAGGCCAACAUGAUGGCACUACAGAAAUGACUCCACUUCCCGCUCUUCAUGGCUCAAUCUGUUCUGCUGGCCAUGUUCAGUCUGACUUUUCCAGAUUCGUCGGGAAUCUGUUUUCUCCCUAUCUACAGUAAAAACCUCCUAAACCA